rnacentral:lncRNA from 1 species
CUUUCUGAAAAAAAAAAAAGAAAAAAAAAAAAAGAAGUUACAUGUAGAAUUCUUAACUCAGUACUUGGCUUAUUGUGUGUGUGUGUGUGUGUGUGUGUGUGUGUGUGUGUGUGUGUGUGUGUAUGUGUUGUUAGCCCAAUAGCUAAAAGGAAAGUAUCACUUUUAUUGGGCGAGUAGCUAUGAAAGCUAAGCCUUAAUGGUGUCUAAGCUAAGAAGCAAAGCUAACAGAAACAAAAGGAAUGGGGUGGGAGGAAAACCAGAAAAGAAAUGGAGGGAAAAUGCACAUAUCUAUUAAAGCAAUGAGAAGCAGCAAGCUAAUAAUAUAAGUAUUAAUGGUGGUGGUGGUGAUGAUUUCUACAUGUAUUGCUCUGUUCCAGGGUCUAAUUUAAGCAUUUUCCAUAGAUAAGCCAUUUUACCUUCACAGGUACUUUGGGGGUCAUGUGGCUACACUGUCCAUUGCCUCCCCAAAUAGUACUCUCCUCUUACUAACAUGACUCUGCCACUGUUCAGUUUGCAAUACACCCAAUGUACCACUCAGUGUUGGACUGAGAAUACCCUGAUAACCUUACUCCUCUCUGCUGGACACUUGUUUCCUAGCCUUCCCAGUGGCCAGCAAUGACCAUGUGACUUGAAUUCUGGCCAGUGAGAUGCAAGGGGAAGUAUGCUGGGAAGCAGGGACUCUGGGAAAACAUUUGCAUCUUCAGGAUCAGACAUGAGAGGAGAGCUUGUUGGUUCUCCCUUUUUCUUCCUGACUGUGGGCCAUCUGGUGAAGAGCCAGAAGGCACAUCUGAAAGACAGACCUGGGAUCUUUGAUGACAGCAUUAAGCUGUAGAAGAACCUUGAGAUUGUUGCCUCUGACUUCUUUUUGAGAAUAAUAAAUGUACUUAUAAUAUAAAUGACUGUUACUGUGCUUACUCUAGAUUGCAGUUGCAAGCAUUCCUAUUUGAUACCGGAAGGUGCUGUUGUCAUCUUUGUGUAUUUAUUUCUCCAUUGUUUACAGAUAAGGAAACUGAGGAAUGGAGAGACGAAAUGUCUUGUCCAUGGUCAUCACAGCUGCUACCACGGAAGCCCUAGUCUGGCAGGAAAGAAGAGUCAUUAGGCAUCAUCUGGCAACUUGGCUUGGAGAAGUCAGAUCAGUCACCAAGAGUCUGGUGGGGCUGCAGCAAUGGCUAGAAAGAACCAGUGACAUGAUUGCCAGCCCAGCUUGAGCUCUGCUUCAGAUAAUUUAAGAUGUACCAGGUGGCACUUCAGGCUAGAAAACUCUGUGGUCUCCCAGCAACUUAAAGGA